AACGAACGCUGGCGGCAGGCCUAACACAUGCAAGUCGAACGAGAAGCAUCCUUCGGGGUGUGGACAGUGGCGCACGGGUGAGUAACGCGUGGGAAUUUACACUUAGGUGCGGAAUAACGUCGGGAAACCGCCGCUAAUACCGCAUAAUGACUCCGGUCCAAAGAUUUAUCGCCUAAGGAUAAGCCCGCGUUAGAUUAGAUAGUUGGUGAGGUAACGGCUCACCAAGUCGACGAUCUAUAGCUGGUCUGAGAGGAUGAUCAGCCACACUGGUACUGAGACACGGACCAG
rnacentral:rRNA from 1 species